UGGCUCAGAACGAACGCUGGCGGCAGGCUUAACACAUGCAAGUCGAGCGCCCCGCAAGGGGAGCGGCAGACGGGAGAGUAACACGUGGGAACGUACCCUUCGGUUCGGAACAACCCAGGGAAACUUGGGCUAAUACCGGAUAAGCCCUUACGGGGAAAGAUUUAUCGCCGAAAGAUCGGCCCGCGUCUGAUUAGCUAGUUGGUGAGGUAAUGGCUCACCAAGGCGAGGAUACAGUAGCUGGUCUGAGAGGAUGAUCAGCCACAUUGGGACUGUUUCACGGCCCAAAGACCUACGGGAGGCAGCAUCCGGAUCUUGGA
rnacentral:rRNA from 2 species